UUCCUAGUGGUUUUCAUAACAAUUGGAAAAUACCUAGGAAAAAACUAAAGAAAAACGGACAAAUGUAUAAAACGUAAUAUUUUCAAAUCGUAAAUAUCACGGCCUUUUAUAACAUGAUCUAUUGCCCAUUAGGUAACUGAACCCAAUCAGAAUCGUUUUUCGUCAGCAAAGAUUAAUCGUUAUGUACAAUAAUAAACAUUAAAUUCUCUUAUAUAAACGUAGGCGAACGAUAAAUAUAAAAUACUUAUUAUACAUCUAUUUAUAUAAUAUUAAUCUUAAUUUCGAAACACG